rnacentral:rRNA from 1 species
AUCUUGCGCAAUGGGCGAAAGCCUGACGCAGCCAUGCCGCGUGAAUGAUGAAGGUCUUNGGAUUGNANAAUUCUUUCACCGGGGANGGUAAUGACGGUACCCGGAGAAGAAGCCCCGGCUAACUUCGUGCCAGCAGCCGCGGUAAUACGAAGGGGGCUAGCGUUGCUCGGAAUUACUGGGCGUAAAGGGCGCGUAGGCGGAUCGUUAAGUCAGGGGUGAAAUCCCGGGGCUCAACCUCGGAACUGCCCUUGAUACUGGCGAUCUUGAGUAUGAGAGAGGUAUGUGGAACUCCGAGUGUAGAGGUGAAAUUCGUAGAUAUUCGGAAGAAUACCAGUGGCGAAGGCGACAUACUGGCUCAUUACUGACGCUGAGGCGCGAAAGCGUGGGGAGCAAACAG